rnacentral:rRNA from 1 species
AUUAGAGUUUGAUCCUGGCUCAGAGCGAACGCUGGACGGCAGGCUUAACACAUGCAAGUCGAGCGGGCACUUCGGUGUCAGCGGCGGACGGGUGAGUAACGCGUGGGAACGUGCCUUCUGGUUCGGAAUAACUCAGGGAAACUUGAGCUAAUACCGGAUACGCCCUUAUGGGGAAAGGUUUACUGCCGGAAGAUCGGCCCGCGUCUGAUUAGCUAGUUGGUGGGGUAACGGCCUACCAAGGCGACGAUCAGUAGCUGGUCUGAGAGGAUGAUCAGCCACACUGGGACUGAGACACGGCCCAGACUCCUACGGGAGGCAGCAGUGGGGAAUAUUGGACAAUGGGGGCAACCCUGAUCCAGCCAUGCCGCGUGAGUGAUGAAGGCSUUAGGGUUGUAAAGCUCUUUUAUCCGGGGACGAUAAUGACGGUACCGGAGGAAUAAGCCCCGGCUAACUUCGUGCCARCAGCCGCGGUAAUACGAAGGGGGCUAGCGUUGCUCGGAAUCACUSGGCGUAAAGGGCGCGUASGCGGUCUUUUAAGUCGGGGGUGAAAGCCUGUGGCUCAACCACAGAAUUGCCUUCGAUACUGGGAGACUUGAGUUCGGAAGAGGUUGGUSGAACUGCGAGUSUAGASGUSAAAUUCSUAGAUAUUCSCAASAACACCGGUGSCGAAGGCGSCCAACUGGUCCGACACUGACGCUGAGGCGCGAAAGCGUGGRGAGCAAACAGGAUUAGAUACCCUGGUAGUC